rnacentral:rRNA from 1 species
UACAGAGGGUGCGAGCGUUGUCCGGAAUUACUGGGCGUAAAGGGCGCGUAGGCGGCCUGAUAAGUAGGGGGUGAAAUUCCGUGGCUCAACCACGGAACUGCCUUCUAAACUGCCAGGCUUGAGCACGGUAGAGGCAGAUGGAAUUCCCGGUGUAGCGGUGGAAUGCGUAGAGAUCGGGAAGAACACCAGCGGCGAAGGCGGUCUGCUGGGCCGUUGCUGACGCUGAUGCGCGACAGCGUGGGGAGCAAACAGG